UACGGAGGAUCCGAGCGUUAUCCGGAUUUAUUGGGUUUAAAGGGAGCGUAGGCCGGCUUUUAAGUCAGCUGUGAAAGUCCGCGGCUCAACCGUGGAAUUGCAGUUGAAACUGGCAGUCUUGAGUACAGUAGAGGUGGGCGGAAUUCGUGGUGUAGCGGUGAAAUGCUUAGAUAUCACGAAGAACCCCGAUUGCGAAGGCAGCAUACCGGCGCUCAACUGACGCUGAGGCACGAAAGUGCGGGUAUCGAACAGG
rnacentral:rRNA from 1 species